GCCAUCGUCCCCGGCGAGGACGUCAAUCCUUCUAAGGUCGUCGUCUUCUUCAUGGCCAUCCGCGUGCGGGCUGUAUCACUCCGCCUCUGGUUCGUCGGAUCUGGUUUUCUAUGCCAACAAGGUGUUUGACAAAAGUCCAAGAAAGUUAUUCACUCUUUUGAUCUGCUGACUGGGCACAGAUGAAGAGGUUCUUGGAUGAGGAAAAGGUUGCUUACUGCUAUUUUCCAUUUUCUACCCAUUUUGAUUGAGCCAAACUGACACAUGGAUUUGAGGUUAUCAUGCAAAUCAGAUGAUGCCAGGUGGGCAUUACAUGUUUAUGGUAUGAUCCAAAUCUGUGACGACGGUCUAAACUGAAUCUAUGUAUGGCUCUUUUGAUAUUUAUGUUGACCAGAGAUGAAGAAUCAAAACUGAGUUAUUUGGAUUGUAUACUGUGUCUUUGAUUUCAAUCAGAAUAGUUUAAACUGAGUUAUUUGGAUGGAGCUUUAUAGCCAUCCUAAGCAACCGAUGAAAUGAAGGUAAAGCAGAGUAACCACAAAUCUCUCCUAAUUAUGUAGUGUAUGCUCCUAUCAUAUACAUAAGGGUUUCUUGGUAAUUGGUUUAGGGAUCAUGUAUUUUUCAAAAAAAGAAAUUUCUUUUGGAUUUACUCCCUAGGCCUCUAGCUCAGGUUCUCCCUUGGUGCCAAUAUAUCGCUGUUCUGAUAUCUUUCUUCAUGCAGCUCGCUGGACUUGGUCAUGUGCAAUGUAUGAGCUUUUUGUGCAGUUUACGUUUAUGGUAAGAAGUUCCCAGCCUAGACUUUCUUUUUAGACGGAUUUAUCACUUGCUGAAUGUUGUUUAUUUCUGUAGGUUAAUAGGAGCUACACGAAAAGUAGAUCCUUACAUUUUUCCGUUGUAAAAUUAAAUUUGUGAUCAUGAAUCAGUUGUGCUUACAAGUAGUUCAAUUGCGUAUGAUUUCCUAUUGCACCGGGAUAAGGCGGAUCACGCCAGCGUUGCGUCGGUGAGUCUUGAUGAAUGUUGGUGGAAUGCAGGGAAGAAAACAUUAGCGUUCGGGUGGAUGGUGACAUGUAUUCUCAUGGAUGGUGACAUGUAUUCCGAUGGAUUCCUGCUCGGCCAAGGAUUUGCCUUCUACAUGGUGAGGUAAAAAGUGUAAUCACACUGCCUCCUGCAUCUCAACAGAUUCUACUUCCAGUGGAUUCCAAUGGCAAGCAAGCAAUAAAUCUUUCUUGGUAGUACAUUAAAUCUAUUGCAGCGGUACAUGUAUUCAGAAGCAGUACAUGCCUCUCGAGAACCAGAGCAGUGUGAACUGGCCACUUAGGGAGGAGGUUAUGGAAGCAUUAGCUUGGCAGAUUAUGUAAUGUCAUCUUAGGUUUUGACACGGAAAUCCUGCUUGAGAAACAAAAAUAACAUUUGGUUUCUCCUUGCAGAUAAGCAUCAGAUUUUUCU